CAGUCGCCGCGGGAAUACAGAGGGUGCGAGCGUUAAUCGGAUUUACUGGGCGUAAAGCGUGCGUAGGCGGCUUCUUAAGUCGGAUGUGAAAUCCCUGAGCUUAACUUAGGAAUUGCAUUCGAUACUGGGAAGCUAGAGUAUGGGAGAGGAUGGUAGAAUUCCAGGUGUAGCGGUGAAAUGCGUAGAGAUCUGGAGGAAUACCGAUGGCGAAGGCAGCCAUCUGGCCUAAUACUGACGCUGAGGUACGAAAGCAUGGGGAGCAAACAGGAUUAGAUACCCGUGUAGUCCCUGUCUCUUAUAU
rnacentral:rRNA from 1 species